rnacentral:rRNA from 1 species
CCCUUAGAUGUUCUGGGCCGCACGCGCGCUACACUGACUACUUCAACGAGUUGUUUCCUUGAUCGAAAGGUCUGGGUAGUCUUUGAAAGGUAGUCGUGAUGGGGAUAGAUCCUUGCAAUUUUUGAUCUUCAACGAGGAAUUCCUAGUAAACGCAAGUCAUCAGCUUGCAUUGAUUACGUCCCUGCCCUUUGUACACACCGCCCGUCGCACCUACCGAUUGAAUGGUCCGGUGAAUCUUUAGGACUGUGGCUGAGGCCUUGCCUUGUGCGGGUCUGGCCGUGGGAAUUUAGUUAAACCUUACCAUUUAGAGGAAGGUGAAGUCGUANCA